rnacentral:rRNA from 1 species
UACGUAGGGGGCAAGCGUUGUCCGGAUUUAUUGGGCGUAAAGAGCGUGUAGGCGGCCAAGCAGGUCCGCUGUGAAAACUCGAGGCUCAACCUCGAGACGUCGGUGGAAACCGUUUGGCUAGAGUCCGGAAGAGGAGAGUGGAAUUCCCGGUGUAGCGGUGAAAUGCGCAGAUAUCAGGAGGAACACCAAUGGCGAAGGCAGCUCGCUGGGACGUGACUGACGCUGAGACGCGAAAGCGUGGGGAGCAAACAGG